UACGUAGGUGGCGAGCGUUGUCCGGAAUUAUUGGGCGUAAAGAGCAUGUAGGCGGUUUUUUAAGUCUGGAGUGAAAAUGCGGGGCUCAACCCCGUAUGGCUCUGGAUACUGGAAGACUUGAGUGCAGGAGAGGAAAGGGGAAUUCCCAGUGUAGCGGUGAAAUGCGUAGAUAUUGGGAGGAACACCAGUGGCGAAGGCGCCUUUCUGGACUGUGUCUGACGCUGAGAUGCGAAAGCCAGGGUAGCGAACGGGAUUAGAUACCCUUGUAGUCGUGACUGACU
rnacentral:rRNA from 1 species